rnacentral:rRNA from 1 species
GUGGGGAAUCUUCCGCAAUGGACGAAAGUCUGACGGAGCAACGCCGCGUGAGUGAAGAAGGUUUUCGAAUCGUAAAGCUCUGUUGUCAGGGACGAGCAGGGGGAGUAUCAACAACACUUCCUCAUGACGGUACCUGACGAGGAAGCCACGGCUAACUACGUGCCAGCAGCCGCGGUAAUACGUAGGUGGCGAGCGUUGUCCGGAAUUAUUGGGCGUAAAGGGAGCGCAGGUGGGAAAGUAAGUCUGCUUUAAAAGUGCGGGGCUCAACCCCGUGAGGGAGUGGAAACUACUUUUCUUGAGUGCAGGAGAGGAAAGCGGAAUUCCUAGUGUAGCGGUGAAAUGCGUAGAUAUUAGGAGGAACACCAGUGGCGAAGGCGGCUUUCUGGACGAUGUCUGACGCUGAGGCGCGAAAGCUAGGGGAGCGAACGGGAUUAGAAACCCGGGUAGUCC